AUAUUUUUUAAAAAGUAGCACGUACACCUGGGGUUAAUUUCUAGAACGUAAAGUGCGAUAAAAAUAGAUUAGUUCGAUUUUCUAAAAAAUCAACAGAUGCUCUAAAAUUAAAUCAUCUGAAAUAAUAGCAUGGAAAAUAACAAACAGAUAUAACUUACACGGUAACAUAAUAGUUGUCGACAAGAGAAGAAUAUACGGCAAAACAAUGAUAAAAUUUACAAUAAACUAUGAACAUAUUCUUACGUUACAUCGUUCAGAUGGGUUUUACAGAAUAAAGAAUAAUGUUAGAUGGGUUUUGGUAAUAAUAUGGUGUUGAAAUAUAAAGAAUACUGGGCAAAACUUAUAAAGUCAUUUAAAGAAUUGAAAAAAAAAAACGCUAAACAAAUUAAGAAAAGGGAAUUUAAGUCCACCCCCUCAUCGAGACCCUUGUGAUAGACACGUCAAAAAAAAAAAAAAAAAAACAAGGAAGAAGAAGUCACACGUGGCAGAAAUCCAACACACAAUAACAUUUUUAAAAUCAAUAUUCAUGAUGAGAAAGUUCUCUAAUUUCAAUGAUGAAAAAGAAUAUAUACUAUAUGAACUAAAUCGAAUCUAAGACAUGUCAAUUUCCAUAUGAAUAAAAAAUAAUAUCCAAAGAGCAACACAUUACAUGAGGGGGUAAGAGGGAUCCUUAUCCCGAAAUCCCUGGCUUAAAAAACACGAUAUCCCGAGGUCCGGAAUUUAAAUAAAUUUAAAUCCUGACAUCCCGAAAUUCGAAAAAAGAAUUCCCGGAUCCCGAAAUCCCGAGCUUAAAAACACCCGAUCCCGGAGUCCCGAUAAAGGUCCUUAACCCCCCCCCC
rnacentral:lncRNA from 1 species